GACGAACGCUGGCGGCGUGCUUAACACAUGCAAGUCGAACGGAAAGGCCCUGCUUUUGUGGGGUGCUCGAGUGGCGAACGGGUGAGUAACACGUGAGUAACCUGCCCUUGACUUUGGGAUAACUUCAGGAAACUGGGGCUAAUACCGGAUAGGAGCUCCUGCUGCAUGGUGGGGGUUGGAAAGUUUCGGCGGUUGGGGAUGGACUCGCGGCUUAUCAGCUUGUUGGUGGGGUAGUGGCUUACCAAGGCUUUGACGGGUAGCCGGCCUGAGAGGGUGAACGGCCACAUUGGGACUGAGAUACGGCCCAGACUCCUACGGGAGGCAGCAGUGGGGAAUAUUGCACAAUGGGCGGAAGCCUGAUGCAGCAACGCCGCGUGCGGGAUGACGGCCUUCGGGUUGUAAACCGCUUUCGCCUGUGACGAAGCGUGAGUGAAGGUAAUGGGUAAAGAAGCACCGGCUAACUACGUG
rnacentral:rRNA from 1 species